UAAGAAUCAGGUGGAGGGCUUGUUAAUAGAUAGGGCUGCCACUACCCCUCUUUGGGUCUGAUUUAGAGGGUCUGGGGUGGGUCCUGGGAAGCGCUAUUUUUAACAAGUGCCCUCACAUCCAUUCCUAGGGUCAGAUCAGUUGAGGAAACACGUUUCUCUUACUCCAGCUUCAGAAUGCCAUUCUGUUACUCUUUCAUCUGGGAAGGGCUUCUGAACGCACAGACAAAAUUCAGUCCUACGGGACAUCAGGUGUCUGCUCUAGUAGCACUUGCCGCAUGCUUUUCUUACUAGCACUAACCAGGCAGCAUUCUAAUCUACCUGACUAAAAAGUCUGCGGUGGCUUCUGUUAGCUACAAGAUAAAGUCUGCACUCAAGUCAAUUCAACAAGUGUUUUGAGCAUCUAUUACAUGUCAGAUACUAUUCUAGGUUUAAUACAGAAUUGAAUGAGACGUGGUCCCAGAUCUCAAGGAGCUCACAUAGUCUGUGGAGGAUUGUCUCUGCUUCGCAUUUAAAGUCUUUCAAAUCUUGGCCCAACUUAGGUUUUUCUCACUCAUUAUCUCUCAAAGGCCUCUUCGAGCUCACCAUAGCCUUAGGCCCUUUCCAGGUGCUGUUCCUUCUACCUAGAAUGCUCUUCCCUCACCCAUUUGAUCUAGUUCGUUUCUGCUUUUCCUUUAGCUGUCACCUCAAGUGUCUCUUCCUUAGGAAACUUUUUUUUGUUCUCACUUACUCGCACGUUCAUCAUUACAUUCACUUUGUAUCUCCUUCAAAGCAUUUGUCUCAGACUCAGUUUUGUAUUUGUAUGAUUAUUUGAUUAAUGUUUGUCUCCCCCUCUAAGCUGUAAGCUCCAUGAGGACAGGGGUGUGGGUUGUGGUUAUCUAGAUGUUCACUGUAGAACUCUUUGUUAAUCUGUCUUUAUUCAUUUAUGCACUUUUCUGUAAAUUUGUUAUAUCUAUCUCUGACCAUCAGUUUAUCUUGCAUACCAUGUUCUAAGUCAAAUCCUGAACAUUGUAACAAACUUUAACAAUAAUAUCAGCUAACAUUCUUUGAUUAUUAUGUACCAGGCACUUACAUGGAUCAUUUCAUUUAAACUUCACAAAAUACUUUAAGAUAGAGACUUACCUCCAUUUCAAAAAAUGGCUUACAAAAAUGACUCAACUUCUGCUUCCCUGUCCACAGCAUCUAAAACCACUCUCCCCUUUCAUCACCCCACUGAGCUCUGAAUUGACUGUACUUACCAGCUAUCCUCCUGCCCAACCUCAUUGACUAGUCCCUUAGUCUGGAAUACUAUCUCCUUUCGCCAGACUCAUCUUUCAUCUCUCAGAAGAGCCUUCUAGGACCUGCCUCAGAUUGGAUCAGGUCCUUUGUUAUAUGUACUGGUUUCCCAUUGCUGUAACAGAUUACCACAAAUUUAGUGGCUUAAAACAACACAAAUUUAGUAUCUUACAGUACUGGAGGUCAGAAGUCCCAAAACCAAUGUGUUUGCAUGGCUGUACUGCUUCUGAAGGCUCUAUGGGAGAAUACAGUUCUUGUCUUUUCCAGCUUCUAAAGGCUGCCUGCAUUCCGUGGUUCAUGACCUCUUCCUCCAUCUUGAAGGCCAGCAAAGCGACAUCCUCUAAUAUCUGUUUUUUCUUGUCCUUCACCUUUCCACCAAUCUCCUUCUCUAGCUCUGACCCUUCUGCCUUCCUCUUUUAAGGACCCUUGUGAUUACAUUGAGCCCACCUGGAUAUUUCAGGAUACUCUCCCCAUCUCAAGAUCCUUAACUUAAUCAUACCGGCGAAGUCCCUUUUGCCACGAAAAAGACUGUAUCUUAUUCGUUACAUCAUCAGCUCACUGUUCAGUGCUUGGCACAUGGUAAAGCCUCAAAAAAUAUCUGUCCACUGAAUAAAUGAACUACUCAACACUGGCAUACAGCUGCCCCUACAGCUUUAUAAUCUUAAUCAGCAUUAAUAAAAAUGGAAUCUUCAGAGCAAGGAACAUGACCAUGGUAGCUUCUUUCACCCUGCUUGACUGGUCAAAAACACCUGGAAUUAUGUGCGUAGUUCCAAGAACUACACUUCAACAUGAAGGAGGUAAAUUGGGACAUAUUUAAAGGAAUGCAACAGGAUGGAGAAGAACAAAAAACAAUAUUAUGAAAACCCAGAGCAUUUAUAAUGUUUAGGGCUUAAAUGAGUAGAGUUGAGAAAGGGUGUGAAGCAAAGAAAAACCCAUCAUCAAGACUACCAUCACCACUGUCCUAGCAGCCAGUGUGUGUGUGCACAUGCAGGCGCUGCAUGUGUGUGUUUUGGGAAGCAGCAUCUUUGUUAGCAACCGUUUGCCCCAGAAGGAAAGUUUGUAACAUUUUCACAGAUCCGUAGCACGUUGUGUGGACCAUGUGUGAUCCGGAUUCUGCUUGCCUUUAAAGGUCCUUCUAGUUGUGGCAUGUGGGACGCUGCCUCAGCGUGGUUUGAUGAGCAGUGCCAUGUCCGCACCCAGGAUUCGAACCAAAACACUGGCCCGCCUGCAGCGGAGCGCGCGAACUUAACCACUCAGGCACGGGGCCAGCCCCUCAGGUCACCUUUUUUUGACUCCUAAAAUCAGCUUUCUCUAUUAUUUGUUGUUAUCGUUCUCUGUACUUCCAAUUUCUCCAUAGAACUUAUUAGAACUUUAACUUAUAAAGUCCAUUAUUUGUGAGAUCAUUUACUUAACUCUUCUUCUCUAAACUGUAAAAUGUCUCUAUCUUGUUCUUAAUCAUCUCCUCAACAUUUCGCAUAAUGCCUGAAACACAGAGAUGAUCAAAAAUUAUCUAUUGAAUAAAAACAUGCAUGGCUG
rnacentral:lncRNA from 1 species